UAGUACCAUUAUGAUGUUUGCUCUUUCCUUCUAUGUUUCCAUGGUGACUGAAAAUGGAGCCCUUUCUUCAGGCCACUGGUCUUUGCAGCACUGAUGUUCUCAGCCACAGAAGUGUACUUAGAGGUACCUUCCCUUUACACUUCAUACAGAGACUCAAAGAAGAGACUAAGCUAUCAGUCUCAUCCAGGAUUUCACUGCUGAGCUGAAUACAAAUCAUCAGUUAAGUGAAGCAAUGGUGACAAGAAUUUGCUUAGGCUCUUUCAAAAGAGAGGUGGCUCUGGCGACAGCUUACUGAGCAUUUUGGCAUCUUGGCAUGGUGGCAGCUAUUGUCCAGUUUUGGUGAAAACUACAUCCACAAGUACAAGAACCAUUAUAAUUUUGAACCAAUAUCAGUGAUGUGUGAAAAUCUGUGGAAGACUGAAAAGGAAUCAUGGUACUGAAGAAAGACAAAUGCCCUAGUAUUCAAAAAUGGAAAAGAAAAAAAAUUGUCAUAUUGUAAGCCAGUAAACAUGGCAUUAAUUCCUGAGAAAAUUCUAUAAGAGUGUUUUAGAUGGCUGUUUAAUAUGUAUAGAGGAGAUGAUGAUUUAAUAUACUUGUCUUCAUCAAGGACAGAUCAUGCCAGACUAAUCUAAUGGACUUUUUUGAGAGGAUUGCUUAAAUGACAGGUUUCCUACCCUUCACUGCCUUCCACAUAUUCUACCACAGUAGUGUCCAAAUCAAGGAGGAAAUGGUGCCAUACAUAAGUUCCUACUGGACAAAUACUGACAAACUGCUUGAGACAUCAAAUGCUUCCUUUUGUACUUUUUCUUUAGUUCUGUGGAAAAUGGAAUCUGUUGGAUGGAACAAAUUAGCAAAGAUUACAAAAGAUAGAAGCAAUCAAUAAAGAUAAAAACCCUGAAAAAUUGUUGGUGGAGCUGUGAAAUGGUUCAACACUACUUAAAAGCAACUUGGAGUUAUACAAGAAAAUGACUAAAUUUUCCAAACCUAUUGACCCAAGAAUCACAGGGAAGUCAAAGACGGAAACAACGUUCCAAUAAGUAAUAAAAUAUCCAUAAUGUUACUCUUUGUAAUAGCA
rnacentral:lncRNA from 1 species